rnacentral:lncRNA from 10 species
CUCAUUCUCGUUCCUGCUGCCUUGUGAAGAGGUGUCUUCUGCUAUGAUUGUCCAGGAAUACAAAUGCUGAUGUGAUGCUAUUCAGAUCCUUAAGAUGAUAUGCCAAGCAGCUGGGAAGCAAAGAUGAGGAAGACAUGACCCUGUCCUGGAAAAGCUUCUUGACUUGAAGGUAGGGAAAGAGCUGACAGCAUUUUUAUAUUUUCUGCAUCUACUGCAGACAACAAUGUCCUGUACAUCUGGCCAAAGGCCAAUCUCUAGUAGGCUAAUUUCUGUAUGCUGGUGAGAUGAGCAAAACACAUGGAAUCUCAGUUGACAAAUAAUUCAAGCAGGUUAAUCACUUCAUGCUCAUGUUACCCCACUUGGUCUCCUUGAAAGAUCUUUUCCUUGGGUUUGGGCUAAAGACUGUUUGUUUUACUGACCUCAGUGACUCACUCUGGGAUUGGCUAGUCUAGAUUCUAAGAAUGCUCAGUUUCCUUCUUUUCAAAACAAAAUCUCAAUAUCUAUUAAAGAACUAAAACGUUAUUUUAAGUGCAGUAAUCAAUAAGCCUGAAGAAUAAUGUUUGGAGUGUUUAUGGUUGUGUUGAAUGACUUGUAUUUUCAAAAUGUGCUCCUAUGGAAAAAC